rnacentral:lncRNA from 1 species
AUAUCUUGGCUCCUGUUUGUGCGGUGUAUGAGCUGAGGUACCUGUGCCUGCAGCAUGAAAUACAGGUCCCCCAUGGGGGACGUCAGUACGAAAUAUGUACUGAGUAUGUAAAGCUGUAGAUAAUCACAUAUGAUAUAGGAGCUCAAUAGAAAUCAAAAACAAGUGAAUAAAUCGUAAUAGGAGUGGACCACACUUACUAGAAC